rnacentral:lncRNA from 1 species
AAAUUAAAAGAUUUUGAAAUGCAAUUGCAGGGAUUCUAAGACGUGCCCCCUAAAUACUUUUUUCCUUAAUUUCAAACUGAACCGAGGUAAUAAGUCAUAAAAAAUUAAAAAUAAACUAAAAGAUACUAAAAUGUAGUUGUUGAGAUUAGAAGACAUGUAUCCUGAAUACUUUUCCCCUCGAUUGUCAGGUCAACCUAGAGAAUAGGUAAUACUUUUUUUUAAAGAAAACUAAA